AUGCCUUUCAAAUCGCAGGGGAGGGUGGCCUGGGUGGUCUGCGGGCUCUGGCAGCAGGGGAACUGGGCCCUGAAGCAGUCCCGCAGCUCCCUGUUGAAGAGGAAGCACACCACAGGGUUGAUGCCGGCCUGGGCGAACGGGCUGUGGGGUCACCUUCUCUUCCUCCCUCCUGCUACCCCAAGUCGCCUGAGGUGCACGUUGCACAGUGGGAGAGCACGUUGGCCUGGAUCUCAAGCUACUCACCUUCUAGUCCUGCCUCUGUCAUUUCCCAGAUCUGUGGCUUCGGGUAAGUCACCUCACCUCUCUGGGCCUCAGUUUCCUCAUUUGUAAAGUGGGGGGUUUGCUUAGGUAAUCUCCACAUUUCCUUUUUACUGUGAAUUUCUAAUUCCUGCUGUCCAGUUGCAAAUUGGGGAAGAAGGGGAAUAUUCCUAAUUUUUUACCUUCUAAGGAUGAGUCUGAGGAGCAGUAACAAUAGUUAAAUUUCUUACAUGUCAAACAGGAAGGGGAUGAAAAUUAGGCCCAUUGUUCUCUGCUUGCCUCUCCCCUUAGCCAUGUUGCCUGACCCAUUUUAUUAAUCUUAAGGUCAUUCAACGUUUAUGUUUUUGGACAUUACCUACUUCCAGCAUGGAUCUGAAGGGUUCACAGUAUAAGAUGCAUCUGUUCAAUUAGGCCUUUAAAAUACAAAUUAGGAGUCGGUUAAUGUAAAAAUAAUGCUGCUGCUGCUUCAUUGGUUACUACCAAUGUUGUGAUUAAUCAUCAGAUGUAAUUCUGAGCAUCCUGGAAGCCAAAGCAAGAAGAGAGGGAGAUAGAUAAUUGUUAUUCAAUAAAAAAAAAUUUCCAGAUUGUUCCUUGUCCUAA
rnacentral:lncRNA from 12 species